AGCGAACGCUGGCGGCAGGCCUAACACAUGCAAGUCGAACGAAGUCUUCGGACUUAGUGGCGGACGGGUGAGUAACACGUGGGAACGUGCCUUUAGGUUCGGAAUAACUCAGGGAAACUUGUGCUAAUACCGAAUGUGCCCUUCGGGGGAAAGAUUUAUCGCCUUUAGAGCGGCCCGCGUCUGAGUAGCUAGUUGAUGAGGUAAAGGCUCACCAAGGCGACGAUCAGUAGCUGGUCUGAGAGGAUGAUCAGCCACAUUGGGACUGAGACACGGCCCAAACUCCUACGGGAGGCAGCAGUGGGGAAUCUUGCGCAAUGGGCGAAAGCCUGACGCAGCCAUGCCGCGUGAAUGAUGAAGGUCUUAGGAUUGUAAAAUUCUUUCACCGGGGACGAUAAUGACGGUACCCGGAGAAGAAGCCCCGGCUAACUUCGUGCCAGCCGCCGCAGUAACAC
rnacentral:rRNA from 1 species